rnacentral:rRNA from 1 species
CGCCUGUUUAUCAAAAACAUCGCCUCCUGCAAUACAACCAAGUAUAGGAGGUCCAGCCUGCCCAGUGACUAUAAGUUCAACGGCCGCGGUAUUUUGACCGUGCAAAGGUAGCGCAAUCACUUGUCUUUUAAAUAGAGACCUGUAUGAAUGGCCAAACGAGGGCUUAACUGUCUCCCUUUUCAAGUCAGUGAAAUUGAUCUACCCGUGCAGAAGCGGGUAUAAUAAUACAAGACGAGAAGACCCUUUGGAGCUUAAGGUACAAAACUCAACCACGUCAAGCAACUCAAUGAAAAGCAAAAACUUCGUGAAACAUGGGAUUUUACCUUCGGUUGGGGCGACCACGGAGGAAAAUAAAGCCUCCAAGUGGAAUGGAACAAACUCCUAAAACCAAGAGAGACAUCUCUAAGCCGCAGAACAUCUGACCAAACAUGAUCCGGCCUAACAAGGCCGAUCAACGAACCAAGUUACCCUAGGGAUAACAGCGCAAUCCCCUCCCAGAGUCCAUAUCGACGAGGGGGUUUACGACCUCGAUGUUGGAUCAGGACAUCCUAAUGGUGCAGCCGCUAUAAGGGUUCGUUUGUUCAACGAUUAAAGUCCUACGUGAUCUGAGUUCAGACCGG